UACGGGGGGGGCAAGCGUUGUUCGGAAUUACUGGGCGUAAAGGGCGUGUAGGCGGGUAGAUAAGUCGGGCGUGAAAUCCCUAGGCUCAACCUAGGAACUGCACUCGAAACUGUUUAUCUUGAGUGCCGGAGAGGAAAGCGGAAUUCCGUGGUGUAGUGGUGAAAUACGUAGAUAUCAGGAGGAACACCGGUGGCGAAGGCGGGUCUCUGGGCCGAUACUGACGCUGAGGAGCGAAAGCGUGGGGAGCGAACAGG
rnacentral:rRNA from 1 species